rnacentral:rRNA from 1 species
UUUUAUUUGAGAGUUUGAUCCUGGCUCAGGAUGAACGCUGGCGGCGUGCCUAACACAUGCAAGUUGAGCGAUUUACUUCGGUAAAGAGCGGCGGACGGGUGAGUAACGCGUGGGUAACCUACCCUGUACACACGGAUAACAUACCGAAAGGUAUGCUAAUACGGGAUAAUAUAUUUGAGAGGCAUCUCUUGAAU